AAAGAAAUGAAUUCUGGAAAUGACAAUUUUUGGUUCGUUGAAGUCCUAAAGAAGCAACAAGAGACGAGGCAUGUUGAGUUGUUUGCAAAGGAGGCAGACUGGCAGAGUUGAAGGCCAUGCAAGCUCAAGCUGAAACCGACCUUAGGAAAUGGGGAGACUGAAAGUCAUGGAACUUAUUUAGAGGUUUGUUGUUGGAUGGGACAAAGCAGAAGGACAAUGGUGAUGGACUGGUUCAUUUGUAAUCUAACCAAAAUGGGAAGAUUGAAUAUAGUUUACCAUAUACCAAAGAUGCAUCUACAAUGCAUUCAGGCUAAUGAUUAGUUACGAAGUUCGUUCGAGGAUAAUGAUGUACUGGAGCAUGCUAUUGAUGAAGAAAUGAACUGGUAUGUUGCAAAGUGAAAAUAGCCAAAUUUGUGAAAAUAGCAGGAUUCUAUAAUGCCUCCAAGGCACAUCAGCCGUCCAAGACUUCUGAUACACCAACUUUCACACUAUCUUUUGUUUCCGUUU